AUGCUUCUGCCAGAUGCAGUACGAAAACUUGGCUUGAGAGGUACUGAAGAAAGCUUAGCUCUAAGAACAAUCCGUCAUGAUGUGCAAACCCUUGAAGGGGCUUCAGUCUCAUUCCACAUUUCUCCAUACUCCAAUCCAAAGUAUUUGAUAUCCAGAGCUUUUACUGCUCCACAGCUUGAUCUCAUUGACCACUCGUACCCAAUAUCUAAGCUGCAAAAGCAGUACAAACACUUGGCUGGACUACCAUUGCAGAGCUUUAAAAAGGCCAAACCUCUCAUCCUUGUUGGCGCAGAUCAAACUCACAUGAUCACACCAAUUGAGCCGGUAAGACUUGGUCCACCUGGUGGCCCCGCUGCGAUAAGAACCAAACUAGGCUGGACACUGCAGGGCCCUACCAGCCUGUUAGAGCAGCGACUCAAGCCAAAGGAGUGUCUCCACAUAUCCCUUCCUCUCAGCACCACCGAAUUGUGCAAGAAUGUUAAUAGGCUGUGGCAAGUGGAUGUUUUGCCCUUUCGGAAUGAAACGGAGUGCACAAGGUCAAAGCAGGACCAAAGGGCCAUCGAACUGCUGGAAGCCAAAACAAUUCGCAUAAAGGUGGAUGGAAUACGCCGGUAUGCAACACCCUUGUUACGUAAAGGUGACAUGCCCCAUCUUCACGCCACUAUGGAAGCAGUCAUGCCACGCUUACGCAGUACUGAGAGGAAACUUGCCAGAGACCCACAACAAGCUGAUGCCUAUUCCUCCGAAAUCCAGAAAUUGGUUCAGUCAGGAGCAAUCAGAAAGCUCAGUCCAAAAGAAAGAGAAGGAGGUGGUGAGUGCUGGUUUAUUCCACAUCACAUGGUGCACCAUAAUGGCAAGAAUCGUGUGGUGUUUGAUUGCUCAUUUCAGUUUAAUGGUCUCAGCUUAAAUGAUUCACUCCUCGCUGGCCCUAUCUUGGGUUCAUCUCUCCUUGGGGUCUUACUCAGAUUCCGUGAGCAUGCAGUCGCCAUCAGUGCGGAUAUCCGGGGCAUGUUCCACCAGGUACGCCUUCUUCCUGGAGAUAGACCACUUCUUCGGUUUAUCUGGCGUGACUCCAAGGAAAAGGGCACCCCUGAUGUCUUUGAAUGGCAGGUUCUGCCAUUUGGGACAACGUGCAGCCCCUGCUGUGCAACCUUUGCCUUACAGCAGCAUGUAAGAGACCAUAGCCAACCGGGUGAUGAUGUAAGGUUCUCCAUAGAACGAUGCUUUUAUGUUGACAAUUGCUUGCAGAGCUUGCCAUCACCAGAGGAGGCUAAGCAAUUGGUUGACAAGCUGAGAGAUCUGUUAGCUGAAGGAGGCUUUGAAUUGAGGCAAUGGGCCAGCAAUAUUCCAGCUGUCAUUAACCAUCUUCCACCUGAAGCAAGAUCGGAUGGGUUUGAACUCUGGCUAGCCCAUGAAAAGACUGAUGUCCAAGAGUCCACAUUGGGCCUUAGCUGGAAUUGCCCAGCAGAUGUCCUGACUUACCGUCACCGGCCCAUUGAUCAUGGGGCUCCAACCAUGAGGAUUAUUUAUAAAGUUUUAGCCAGUCAGUAUGACCCCUUAGGAUAUAUCCUCCCGUAUACUACGAGGGCUAAGGUACUGGUCCAACAACUUUGGAACAAACAGCACAGCUGGGAUGAUACUCAACUUCCCCAAGCCUUGGUUCAGAGCUGGAAUGAAUGGGAAAGUCAGCUGCAGUUUCUUCACAAAAUCAGUUUCCCAAGAUCAUAUGUACCAGCUUCAGUAGAUCAAACAAGAUCUAUUACAGACCUCCACGUGUUCAGUGAUGCUUCAGAGAGCGCAUAUGGAGCAGUCGCCUACCUGCGCACUGAAGAUCAGCAGGGUAAGAUCCAUCUGUCAUUUGUAUUGGCACGUUCUAGAGUAGCACCUAAAAGAGUCCUGUCAAUACCCCGCUUGGAGCUCUGUGCUGCAGUAAUUGGUGCACAGCUUAAAACCCAGUUGCAGAAGGAGUUAACAUUGCCACUUCGCCACACAGUUCUCUGGACAGACUCUACUACAGUGCUGUCUUGGAUUCAGUCAGAGUCUUGCCAUUUCAAGGUUUUUGUCGGUACCAGAGUGGCUGAAAUCCACGAGCUUACCAACACCACUGCUUGGCGAUACGUGGAUUCAGCUCAAAAUCCAGCGGACGACCUUACAAGAGGAAAGACUCUAAAAGACCUUGCUAAGCCAAACAGAUGGAGCCAUGGGCCCCCAUUCCUGCUCCUUUCCUCAGAGAACUGGCCAGCAAACCCUACAGAGUGCCCCGAGAUUGACAAUUCUGAGUUCAAGAAAUCUGCUUUCUGUGGAGUUGUAGCUGUAAAUGGACAAUUUGGCAGUGAGUACAAGACCUGGACAGAGCUGGUGAAGGCCAUAGCACAGGAGCUACAUGGGGCGGCUGGAGAGUCAGGAGAACCUACAGCAAACACUUACCAAACAGCAGAGACAUUUAUACUCCAGAAGGUGCAAAGUGAGAGUUUCCCUGAAGAAUUACAACGGUUGAGAUCAGGCAAACCUCUUCAACAUAAUAGCCGCUUACUUACCUUAACUCCAGAAUAUGACACAUCCACCAAUCUAAUCCGGGUUGGUGGUAGGUUACGACAUGCAGAAACCUUAGAUCCCGCCCUGAAACAUCCAAUCGUACUAGAUUCUAGACAUCCAGCCGUGAAAUUACUUCUUCAAGAUUUUGAUGAAAGACUCUGCCAUCCAGGACCUGAUCGGGUGUUUGCAGAAAUAAGGAGAAAAUUCUGGGUGUUAAGAGGAAGAGCAGUCAUCCGCAUCUUACAGCAUGCCUGUACAGAAUGUCAAAGACUCAGAGCCAAACCUACCUUUCCCAAAAUGGCAGACCUUCCUUUAGCACGCUUACGCCUCUACAAACCAGCCUUUCAUUCCACCGGUAUGGAUUGCUUCGGCCCUUUCCUUGUAAAGAUUGGUCGACGAGUAGAAAAGAGGUGGGGAAUCCUCUACAAGUGUCUUACCACACGAGCCGUACAUGUGGACCUGCUGAACAGCUUGGACACAGAUUCAUUUCUGAUGUCGCUACGUAGGUUUAUUGCUCGAAGAGGUUCCCCAGUAGAAUUACUGUCAGACCAAGGAACAAAUUUUCGAGGUGGUGAACGGGAACUGUGCGAAGCAUUCCAGGCCAUGUCGCCUGAUCUCCAGCGGAAACUCGCACCACAAAAGAUAGCAUUCCAUUUCAAUCCCCCUGCAGCAUCCUUCUUCAACAUAAUAGUCCGCUUACUUUACCUUAACUACCCAGAAAUAUGA
rnacentral:lncRNA from 1 species